AGAGUUUGAUCAUGGCUCAGAUUGAACGCUGGCGGCAGGCCUAACACAUGCAAGUCGAGCGGUAGCACAGAGAGCUUGCUCUCGGGUGACGAGCGGCGGACGGGUGAGUAAUGUCUGGGAAACUGCCUGAUGGAGGGGGAUAACUACUGGAAACGGUAGCUAAUACCGCAUAACGUCGCAAGACCAAAGUGGGGGACCUUCGGGCCUCAUGCCAUCAGAUGUGCCCAGAUGGGAUUAGCUAGUAGGUGGGGUAACGGCUCACCUAGGCGACGAUCCCUAGCUGGUCUGAGAGGAUGACCAGCCACACUGGAACUGAGACACGGUCCAGACUCCUACGGGAGGCAGCAGUGGGGAAUAUUGCACAAUGGGCGCAAGCCUGAUGCAGCCAUGCCGCGUGUGUGAAGAAGGCCUUCGGGUUGUAAAGCACUUUCAGCGGGGAGGAAGGCGUUAAGGUUAAUAACCUUGGCGAUUGACGUUACCCGCAGAAGAAGCACCGGCUAACUCCGUGCCAGCAGCCGCGGUAAUACGGAGGGUGCAAGCGUUAAUCGGAAUUACUGGGCGUAAAGCGCACGCAGGCGGUCUGUCAAGUCGGAUGUGAAAUCCCCGGGCUCAACCUGGGAACUGCAUUCGAAACUGGCAGGCUAGAGUCUUGUAGAGGGGGGUAGAAUUCCAGGUGUAGCGGUGAAAUGCGUAGAGAUCUGGAGGAAUACCGGUGGCGAAGGCGGCCCCCUGGACAAAGACUGACGCUCAGGUGCGAAAGCGUGGGGAGCAAACAGGAUUAGAUACCCUGGUAGUCCACGCCGUAAACGAUGUCGAUUUGGAGGUUGUGCCCUUGAGGCGUGGCUUCCGGAGCUAACGCGUUAAAUCGACCGCCUGGGGAGUACGGCCGCAAGGUUAAAACUCAAAUGAAUUGACGGGGGCCCGCACAAGCGGUGGAGCAUGUGGUUUAAUUCGAUGCAACGCGAAGAACCUUACCUGGUCUUGACAUCCACAGAACUUAGCAGAGAUGCUUUGGUGCCUUCGGGAACUGUGAGACAGGUGCUGCAUGGCUGUCGUCAGCUCGUGUUGUGAAAUGUUGGGUUAAGUCCCGCAACGAGCGCAACCCUUAUCCUUUGUUGCCAGCGGUCCGGCCGGGAACUCAAAGGAGACUGCCAGUGAUAAACUGGAGGAAGGUGGGGAUGACGUCAAGUCAUCAUGGCCCUUACGACCAGGGCUACACACGUGCUACAAUGGCAUAUACAAAGAGAAGCGACCUCGCGAGAGCAAGCGGACCUCAUAAAGUAUGUCGUAGUCCGGAUUGGAGUCUGCAACUCGACUCCAUGAAGUCGGAAUCGCUAGUAAUCGUAGAUCAGAAUGCUACGGUGAAUACGUUCCCGGGCCUUGUACACACCGCCCGUCACACCAUGGGAGUGGGUUGCAAAAGAAGUAGGUAGCUUAACCUUCGGGAGGGCGCUUACCACUUUGUGAUUCAUGACUGGGGUGAAGUCGUAACAAGGUAACCGUAGGGGAACCUGCGGUUGGAUCACCU
rnacentral:rRNA from 24 species